ensembl:miRNA
GCCCAGGGUAGCUCUCUGUAUUACUUGUUACAUUUUAGGGUUGCUUGCCCCUUGCUCCAAUGGUGCCGGCAGAAGAAAUGCAAACAAAGUACAGCAUUAGCCUGAGC